GUCGCUAUUUAAAUCUUUUUUUCAGCAACUGUUACUGUCAUCCCGACGACCUCUAGACAUGCAAAUUCCACUGCAAAAGCUUCACCCACAGACCCCAAACCAAGUGAGAAAAGUUCCUCAACGAUCCCCCCACAUGAUACAGCUACAUGGCUGAUACCACUGAUUUCCACUGGUGUUGGUGUCAUUUUAUGUGGAUUCUUCAGUCUGUGCUGGUUU